rnacentral:lncRNA from 1 species
CCUGGUGGAAAGACCUGCUCUGGAAGACAGUGUGAGGCAAUGGGGUACAGGGAGAACAGCAGAACUGAGAAGUUUGGAAAGGAGGCAGGGGACUGCCCAUAAAGGGAGCAUAAAAACACCCAAGGUACUGAUGUAGCACUAAUACCUUUUUCCUGUCCUUCAGGACGUGUGGCUGUCCAUGGUUGUCUUGUUAAUGAGGAAAGACCGGGGGGUCUUAGUGGAAGAGACAUCAUAAUGAAUAGUGAAUGCUGCAGACAUUCCAGGAAGGGCUGCUCAAACAAUGCCACUGAAAACACCCCUCCAGUGCAGUGCCUGUCUCCUACUGGAUGUAGUGGUAUCAGCCCUUUAUGCUCAGCUGCACCCAGCCUGAGAAAUCCAGAAACCAAGAGUCAAGGAGGCUGGGGGAGCAGAGGGGGAUUUGUUGAGGUUGGUAGAGAGCCCAUAAUAAAGCCAUUCUGAAUUAUUUGCUUAACCACAACUGUCUCCAUUCUGUAUUUACCCAGGAUUGCUGAGCCCAGCUAUUGUUUAUCUAGGUCCCCAGCUGGGCUUGAGUCAAACAAGAGGAAACCAUAUGCCUCUCCAGGGAGUCCCACUGUGUGUGAGCAACUCAGUCUGGCCUCAAAUCCUGCACCCUUCAUAGUCUGCUCGCUUUCUUUCUUUCUUUCUUUCUUUCUUUCUUUCUUUCUUUCUUUCUUUCUUUCUUUCUUUCUUUCUUUCUUUCUUUCUUUCUUUCUUUCUUUCUUUCUUUCUUUCUUUCUUUCUUUCUUUUCUCUCUCUCUCUCUCUUUCUUUCUCUCUCUCUUUCUCUCUCUUUCUCUUUCUUUCUCUUCUCCCCACUAUAACCAGAUCUGAGUUUGUCAUGAGUAUUCAUUUCCCAGUGCUGCCUGUAUCAUUCCUAUAGCCAUUGCCAAAGCUGCUCUCAUUUCAUUUCAAAGACAAAAAUAGUAAAAUUUUCCAAGCAGAUGCCAAAUCACAAGUGUAAAUCUAUUUUUCAAAGGAAUUGCUAGAAUCCUUGUCCUUUCUAACUGCUUCUACCAUGUCAUUCCCACACUCCCUAGGGCCUUCUACCUCUGCUUACGGGGUGGAAAUCAAGAACAGCUAUAGCAAGGGAAACCAAUAAACAAAUAAAGCUGCCGUAAAAGUUUUUAAAG